UUAUAAAAGUCCCUCCCCAGCUUUCCUGUAAGUCCCCUUCAGAUCCUGGAAGGCCACUAUAAGGUUCCCACGGAGCCUUUUCCAGGUUAAAGAGUCCCAGCUCUCUCGGUCUGUCCUUGCAGGGGAGGUGUGGCUCUCCUCUAGGCUUGCUCCAACAGCUCCAUGUCCUUGUUGGGGGCCCCAGACCUGGAUGCAGUACUCCAGGUGGGGUCUCAGAAGGACAGACUAGAGGUGCAGAAUCACUUCCCUUGACCUGCAGGUCACGUCUCUCUUGAUGCAGCCUUCUGGUCUGCAAGCAUGUUGCCAGCUCAUGUUAAGUCUUGUAUCAGCUGACACUCCCAAAUCCUUCUCCUCAGGGCUGCUCUCAAGUUGUUCUCUGCCCAUUUUGUAUCUGUGCUUGGAAUUGCCCUGACCCACCUGCAAAACCUUACACUUGUCCUUGUUGAACUUCAUGAGGCUGUUACGGGUCCACCUCUCCAGCCUGCCCAGGUCCCUCUGUAUAUCAUCCCUUCCCUCUAGCAUGUCAACUGCACCACUCAGCUUGGAGUCAUCUCCAAACUUGCUGUUCAUGUUGCUUACAAAGACGUUAAAUAGCACUGGUCCCAGCUCCAGUCCCUGAGGAACACCUCUCAUAACUGGUCUGUGCUUGGACAUUAAGCUGUUGACCACAGUUCUCUGAGUGUGACCAUUGAGCCAGUUUCUUAUGCAGUGAGUGGUCCACCCAUCAAAUGCACUUUCUUCCAGUUUGGUGACCAGCUGUCAUGCAGGAUGGUGUCAAACCCAUCGCACAAGUCCAGGCAGAUGACAUCGGUUUCUCUCCAUUUAUCCCCUGAUGCUGUCACUCCAUCAUAAAAAGCCACCAAGUUUGUCAGGUGUGACUUGCCCUUGGUGAAGCCAUGUUGUUUACUACUGAUCAUCUCCUCUUUGUUUUCCGUGCCCCUCAGUAGGACCUUAAAGGGAUCUUGCCAGGCACAGAGAUGAGGCUGAGUAGCCUGUAGUUCCCUGGAUCUUCUUUUUUCCCUUCUUCAAAAUGGGGGUUUUGUGUCCUCUUCUUCAGCCAGUGGGAACUUCACCAACCUUUCAAAUAUGCUGGAUAGCAGCUUGACACCUUUAUUUGCCAGUUCCCUCAGAACGCAGGGAUAGAUCUCACCUGGUUCCGUAGAUGUGUGCACCUUCAAGUUUGUUAGGUGGUCUCAAACCUGAUCUUCACUUCCAGCGGCAGACCUUCCUUCUCCCAGUUCUUACCUUUGCUUUCUGCAAUUUGGGCACUGUGGCUGGAGCUGCUGCCAGUGAAGACUGAGGCAAAGAAGUCAUUUUUAGCCUCAGCUCAGCCUUCUCCACAUCCAUUGUGACCAGGUCUCCAGUUUCCUCAUGGAGAAGGCCCACAUCUGACCAGAGGUUCCCUCUAAACUUUGAGAAGCUCCUCUUGAUAGAAGGCAUGAGCACCAGUGCAGGCUGGCAAGAAGCUGUGGAGUCUGUCCUUGGAGAUGGCUGUAAGUCAGCUGGACUUACAGAACCUGGUUGUGGGCAGUUAGCUGGCUCUGGUGAAACUCUGGAACUUUCAGAUCCCAGAUGCUUCUGAAGGUGAGACAAAGGGCUGUCUGAAACUCAAAUUAGUGAUUGUACAGGCAAAUAUUUUUUCCAGCAGUCAGUUUUGAGAUUUUUAUUCUGUAUCAAUGAGAGGGCAGAACCUCAGCAGGUUUCGUGUUUACUUGUCACUUCAUUUUCUGUAUAUGAGAACUUUUAUUUGAAGUCAGUUUAUCAAAUUGCAAAAUAUAUCAGCUAUAGUGAUACUGAAGUUUAAAAAAAAAAAAAGAAAAUCAAGAACAUAAAGCUAAAUCUGCGUGGUAUCAUUUACAGUGCUGGUUAUUAGAGACUUUAGAACAUUAGAAACACUUUCAGCAGUCAAGUACUUUGCGUUCAGUAUCUCCCAAAAUACUCUUCUGAGCAUUUUUAUAUUAUGGCAUGCUGAGUGACUGCCUGUGCUGUACGCAGAGAUGGUGGUUCAGCUUCUGCCUUGGUAUUCACAGUAGUCCUGAUGCACUGUCAGCUCCACAUGCAGAGCUGAAAGCUGCUAAGUGAAGUUUUGUAAAACCCAUCUAGGAGUGCUCUGUGCAUCAGCAGAAAGCCUGUAAGUCCUCUCUGUGGAAGUCCUUCAGGUGUGCACCUUAGCAGCAGCAAGUUGCCCCAAGCAGCACUGGACCUGGAUGUGGAGGGCUGAUGGUUAGGAAAGGAGGAACCUUAGCUGUCCUGGGGAGUAGGAGAGCUGCAUAAGGCCCCUGGAAUGGAGUUGAGUUCCCGAGCAGUGCUGUGUCCAAAGCUCAAAUGCAUGCUGUCUAAGCUUUUGUAGUCCCCAGAGUAUCAGGCUAAGCUAAACCUGAGCCUCAUUACUUUGAUGUUGAAAAGCAUGCGUUGUGUACAAGCAAGAUCAAAAAGCAAAGUGCUGUCAGAGCUGGUAGCCUGUUCUCUAGAAGGAUAGCUAAUCCCUGUCUAAAGGAAGGACUUAGUGGCAUAGUAUUUGUGAUUUGCCUGGAGCAGAGCAGAGAAGGGUGGGCUCCUGCUAUUGGCAUGGUGUACAACAGCUGGCACUGCCCUUUUCUUGAAUUCCUGCUCUGUGUUAGCACACAGCAUUUUGAUUAUAUGGUGAUCUUGAGAUGACUGUGUGACUUGAGCCAGGGCUGGUAGCUGAGUACGUAUCCUGCUGUCCUGACAACCUGACAGGGAAAGGAGCUCUCGUCACUUUGUCAGUACUGUGAAAGGAACUUUCUUGGUACAGUCUUUGUCCUCUCCUUAGAAAUGGAUCUUCUUUUGGAUGGGUCUUCAGAGAAGACUGGCCUGGUCUGAUGAGGCCUUUUGCCCCUUACAGGAAUUGACUCUAGAGGGAUAACUUCUCUUUAAGGGCAGCUGCUCUGUUCUCCUCGUUGCACUGAUGUACUCGAGUGCUCUUUGCCCUUAACAUAAAAGUUAAGAUGAGCAGGGUCUUUAUGGAGGCAGAACGUUGGUGAAUGCCUUAGCUGUUUCUGACCUGAGCUCCUUGGAACCCAGGGAAACAUUUUAUAGUCCUGGAUUGGUUGUAGAUUGGACCUGUUCAGAGAGUAGUAAUAGUGCCAAGCAGCAGUUGAGCCAGAACACCAGUUAAGAAGCUUCUUUCAGGUACCUCAUUAGCUUGGAAUUGGUGUUUGCUUUUUAAUUUCUUUUCUCUGGUUCAUCCAGAAAUUCCAUUGCUCCUCAGUUGCUUCUCGUCCUGAAUUGGCCUAUGGAUGAAUGGCUACUGAGCCAAGUUUUGUUGGAAGUCACUGAUAUGAGACCCACUCUGGCUUUCUUAACAAAUACAACAUUUGACUUCUGUACUUGAAGAUGAUUUCUGCACUGAGAAAGCAGCAGCGAUCAUCAGUUCUUCCUGGUAAUCUUGUGGAAGUCUGUGCCUUGGGGUCACAAAUCAGGCUUCUACAUAAAUAGCAUCUUUUUUUCUUAAUUAGCUGGGAUCACAGUCUCAGUAUGGUGUGAUAGUGCAGAGCUGGUAUUGGCCUUUUGUAGUGCUGAUAUCUAGAGAAACUAGAAGUGUAGCUUUAGUGCUCCUAAUGAGGCUUAAAUAGGGGCUUUCAGUGGUAACUUUUCCUACAGCAGAUAAGGACUAGACUUGGUCUAAUUGUCUGCACGUCUGUGAGAGGUGUCCUGCACUAGGCUGGUACACAACUUCUUCUGGCCUUAAAACUACUGUCAGUGCAGCUGCAUGUCCCAGGAAUGCAAAAGUGCCAGAACUGCAUGAUGCACUUGAUGAUCAUCCCUGCCACCAACAGAACUUGAUUGCCAUGGGUCCUCUUGACUUCCUUUUCCUGCUGGAACUCUAGGAAAGACUUCUGGAUGUGGAGCUUACUCUCCCCAGUGGGCUCCAUGGGGGCUGCGGUUCGUAAAGGUGUCUUUGCUGCUGUACUGUGGGAUCUUGAUGUGUCUCUUAAGUUGUGUGUUCCAGUAGCAGUUGGUGGGUUUGGUGGUUCUCCGUGCUGCUCAUUUGGCCAGCACUGGAAGGAUGUGCACAGAGCCUGCGUCGUGAGUCCUGUCCUGAGUAAUGACUGAGCUGGUCGUGGCAGAAGAAGUGCAGCCGUGGAGCUCGCAUGUUGAACUUGCAGCUACCUGCAGUUUCCAUCUCAGGUUGGCAGAGUGGGAAGGAUAGAAGUGCCCGAUGGCAGGCUCCGCUGUCAGUGAUUCAGGAACACAGCACAAAAGCCUACUGAGAAGGCGAGGUGAAUCUCGCAGCAACAGCGUGCUGGGUUUGUUGACAAGCUGGAAAUGGCAUGGUUCUCUGCACGUUGGAGCUACCUUGAGACAGACUGUCCCUGAAUUUUGGAGCAUUAUAUAGUGUAAAGGGAAGUCCUGCACGUAGACUUAGAUCGGGGAUGUGCUCUGUUACGUUGGUAGGCUCAACUGGCUUCAGAGAGCACGUUGCUGAGCAUCCUUAACUGAUAUCAAGUGUUGAGUGAUCAGACUGCUGGAGAGUGCCUUAUCAGCACUCCGUGGGGGAGCUAAGCCCACUGCUUCUUUAGAGGCACUUUGUUAACAGUCUCCCUCCUUGAUUAGUUCUGUUCUCCCGAUUCCUUGUUUGAAGGUUGUGAAGUACUUGCUCUGUGCUAGUUCAUAGAAGGGAGGAGUCCUCUAAAGGAUAAGCUGUUCUCAUUGUCUGCGGGAGAUAGAUGGAGUUCACAGUUGAAGUAUUGGAGUUAAACAGGCUGUGCUCUCGGAAGAAAAACAAAGCUGGAGGAAAACCAAUUUCUGAAUGAAAGGAGGCUUUAACAGACUGCUUUAAUUUGCUUGAUGUUUUGCUACAGGCUGGACUGCUUUGGCAGUUAAGAGUGAAUGGAUGAGAAAUAACUCAGUACUUGAACCAUCUGAGUCAGUGGGAAGUUAAAUUUUAUCUAUUCUGCUAUUACUGACAAAUGCAAACCCAGAUCCUGAAGAAGGCACACUCCCACACUAUUAACAUCUCUCAGCGAAAGACUUGAAGUGCAAUCAAACUGAUGCUCCACCAGCCCUGCAGCAGCCUUGUGUGUUAUGGAGCAGGAUGAACAGACCAUGGCAUAAAACAGUCACUCUGUAUAGUCUGCAGUAGUUCAUUUGCUGUAGGAAGCGUCACUCCAAAAUUCUAAUAAGUGGACUCAACCUCUUGGUUCCAAGCUGCAACACCACCUUCAGCCUAAUGCUGUGCUCACGAGACUUGCUGCUCUGAACUUUUUUACUGCAGUGCACUAUACCUGUUCUGCUAAUAUUGCAUUUGACAAUGAAUAUCAAGGCUCUACUGUGGAAUUCAUUCCAGCAAUACUCACUUGCCCUGCAGAAGAUGGUCUGCUCAUCUCUUUCCACAGUGUUGGCUUAGUUAAUUACUGCACUAAAGAGCUCAUAGAAAUAACUGACACUCAUAAAGAUCUGCAAACUAUUUGCUCUUUCCUCUUACAUUUGGGUUCUUAAACUUUAUGUCAGGGUAUAUUUCUUUCUUUCCAGGGGCUUUAAUGGUGGUCUGUAGGCUGCUGACCUUGGUUGGUCUCAAACUUGUGCCUGUGUGCUCAGCAGAAGAACUUCCUGAAUUUGUUUUGGACAGCUGGCUGAUUUCGGCAGCCUAUCAAAAUUAAACCACUUGAAAUAAAUUCCAGUUAAAACUGCUUUGCUUGCUGAAGCUGUAGAGAUAAAACUGAAAGAUCUGAAGUUACAAGUCAGAGCAAGUAGUGGAGAACAGUUCUGAUCAAUGAUUUUUUAAAAAAACCAACAGUGCAGCUUGAAAUUGCAUGAUGGAGUCCAGUUUCUAAAACUUUGGAGAGAUGCUAGGAUAGAGGUGAUCUACUGCAAAACAAAAUGUAGGGAUUGUUUUUGCAGUUACUGGUAUGCCAGAACUCACUGCUGAGAGCGCCCAGCUGGUGGUGGAGUUCUAAUAAAGCACAGCCUCUUUCAGGGAGGAGUGCUGGCAGCGUUCUCUGUAGUGACCAGCGAGUUGGCCAUGCUGAGAGCGGUGUCACUGGGUUCCUUAGCCCUGUGGGCAUGGAGCAGCAGCCUGUCCUUCCUGCCUGUGCUGGGAAAGGGCUGCUGGGAGGUGUGCAAGGAGCUGCGGGGUGAGCUGUCAGUGGCUGGGGAGAGUGAGCAGAUGGGACUGAACGGGGGUUUGCAGGUGGGUGCAGCUGCUUUGGGCCCAGCCAUCUUGUGCAAAGUCAUCUGUGGUAACUAAGGGACUGUGGUAAAACAGAACUGGAUGGAAUCAUGGAGAUGGAAUGUUCCCAUGUGGAAAAGGCUCACAGGGAUCACUGAGUCCAACCCCUAGCUCUGUGCAGUGCCAUCCGGGUCUCAAACCCUGUGUCUGAGAGCCGUGUCCCAGUACUCCUUAACCUCCAGCAGUUUGUGGCCGUGGCCCUUUAGUGCCUGUUCCAGUGCUCCUUGGCUUGAUUCCUUCCUUCUGUUUAAAGGAGGAAAUGGAUGUUAGCUGUUCUUACUCAUCCUGUCACCUGAGGAGACCUCAGUGCCUGUCCGUGGAGUCUGGAAAUACGAAGACAAAGGCUGCAGAAAAGGAGCUACUGAAACCUGCCGUGUUCAGGCUGUACUGGCUGGCUGCAGGUGUGUCUAAGUACUUUUGUCCAUCUGUUCUCUGUUGUGUGAUCCCAAUCCAGAUGAUCCUUUAGUGCCUGAGAUUGCACGGAUCUACAAAACAGAUAGAGAAAAGU